CCCAGACAGCCAGGAUGUUGGCUUAGAAGCAGCCAUCAUUUAAAGAAAGCGUAAUAGCUCACUGGUCGAGUCGGCCUGCGCGGAAGAUGUAACGGGGCUAAACCAUGCACCGAAGCUGCGGCAGCGACACUGUGUGUUGUUGGGUAGGGGAGCGUUCUGUAAGCCUGCGAAGGUGUCCCGUGAGGGAUGCUGGAGGUAUCAGAAGUGCGAAUGCUGACAUAAGUAACGAUAAAGCGGGUGAAAAGCCCGCUCGCCGGAAGACCAAGGGUUCCUGUCCAACGUUAAUCGGGGCAGGGUGAGUCGACCCCUAAGGCGAGGCCGAAAGGCGUAGUCGAUGGGAAACGGGUUAAUAUUCCCGUACUUGGUGUUACUGCGAAGGGGGGACGGAGAAGGCUAUGUUGGCCGGGCGACGGUUGUCCCGGUUUAAGCGUGUAGGUGUGUGUUCCAGGUAAAUCCGGUUCACUUUAACACUGAGGCGUGACGACGAGGCACUACGGUGCUGAAGCAACAAAUGCCCUGCUUCCAGGAAAAGCCUCUAAGCAUCAGGUAACAUCAAAUCGUACCCCAAACCGACACAGGUGGUCAGGUAGAGAAUACCAAGGCGCUUGA
rnacentral:rRNA from 1 species